AACGGCCGCGGUAUCCUAACCGUGCAAAGGUAGCGCAAUCACUUGCCCCUUAAAUGGGGGCUAGUAUGAACGGUAAAAUGAGGGCCUAACUGUCUCCUGUGGCCCAUCAAUGAAAUUGAUAACCCAGUACAAACGCUGAAAUACUCACAUAAGACGAGAAGACCCUGUGGAACUUUAAACCUACUGCUAGCAACCCGCCCUCCCCUAACAGCCGUUUUAAGUUGGGGCAACUACGGAGUAAAAAAUAACCUCCGCGAGCCGUGAUUAACAGUCACACUUCAAGCCUACACGCUGACCCAAAAAUUAUGACCCAGUACAACUGACUUUCGAACCAAGCUACCCCAGGGAUAACAGCGCCAUCCCCUUUAAGAGUUCCUAUCGCCAAGGGGGUUUACGACCUCGAUGUUGGAUCAGGACACCCCGGCGGUGCAGCCGCUGCCAAAGGCUCGUUUGUUCAACGAAUAAUGUCCU
rnacentral:rRNA from 1 species